rnacentral:rRNA from 1 species
GAUGAACGCUGGCGGCGUGCCUAAUACAUGCAAGUCGAGCGAACAGACGAGGAGCUUGCUCCUCUGACGUUAGCGGCGGACGGGUGAGCAACACGUGGAUAACCUACCUAUAAGACUGGGAUAACUUCGGGAAACCGGAGCUAAUACCGGAUAAUAUAUUGAACCGCAUGGUUCAAUAGUGAAAGACGGUUUUGCUGUCACUUAUAGAUGGAUCCGCGCCGCAUUAGCUAGUUGGUAAGGUAACGGCUUACCAAGGCAACGAUGCGUAGCCGACCUGAGAGGGUGAUCGGCCACACUGGAACUUAGACACGGUCCAGACUCCUACGGGAGGCAGCAGUAGGGAAUCUUCCGCAAUGGGCGAAAGCCUGACGGAGCAACGCCGCGUGAGUGAUGAAGGUCUUCGGAUCGUAAAACUCUGUUAUUAGGGAAGAACAAAUGUGUAAGUAACUAUGCACGUCUUGACGGUACCUAAUCAGAAAGCCACGGCUAACUACGUG